rnacentral:rRNA from 1 species
AUUGAACGCUAGCGGGAUGCUUUACACAUGCAAGUCGAACGAGUGGCGGACGGGUGAGUAAUAUAUCGGAACGUGCCCAGUAGCGGGGGAUAACUACUCGAAACAGUGGCUAAUACCGCAUACUAUUUGCUCGGCCCAGAUGGGAUUAGCUAGUUGGUGGGGUAAAGGCUCACCAAGGCGCCGAUCCAUAGCUGGUUUGAGAGGACGACCAGCCACACUGGAACUGCGACACGGCCCAGACUCCUACGGGAGGCAGCAGUGGGGAAUUUUGGACAAUGGGGGAAACCCUGAUCCAGCCAUCCCGCGUGUAUGAGAAGGCCUUCGGGUUGUAAAGUACUUUUGGCAGAGAAGCGGUAUCUGCAGAAUAAGCACCGGCUAACUACGUGCCAGCAGCCGCGGUAAUUC